UACGUAGGGGGCAAGCGUUGUCCGGAAUCAUUGGGCGUAAAGAGCGUGUAGGCGGCCCGAUAAGUCCGCUGUGAAAGUCAAGGGCUCAACCCUUGAAUGCCGGUGGAUACUGCAGGGCUAGAGUCCGGAAGAGGCGAGUGGAAUCCUGGUGUAGCGGUGAAAUGCGCAGAUAUCAGGAGGAACACCGAUGGCGAAGGCAGCUCGCUGGGACGGUACUGACGCUGAGGCGCGAAAGCGUGGGGAGCAAACAGG
rnacentral:rRNA from 1 species